AGCAGCCGCGGUAAUUCCAGCUCCAAUAGCGUAUAUUAAAGUUGCUGCAGUUAAAAAGCUCGUAGUUGAAUUUCGGGAUCAAUAUGUUGGUCGUGCCUCGGUACGUACUAGCUUAUUGGUUUCUCCCUUCUGACGAACCAUGAUGUCAUUUAUUUGGUGUUAUGAGGAAUCAGGACUGUUACUUUGAAAAAUUAGAGUGUUUAAAGCAGGCUCACGCUUGAAUACAUUAGCAUGGAAUAAUGAAAUAGGACGUUUGAUUCUAUUUUGUUGGUUUCUAGGAUCGACGUAAUGAUUAAUAGGGAUAGUUGGGGGCAUUAGUAUUCAAUUGUCAGAGGUGAAAUUCUUGGAUUUAUUGAAGACUAACUACUGCGAAAGCAUUUGCCAAGGAUGUUUUCAUUAAUCAAGAACGAAAGUUAGGGGAUCGAAGACGAUCAGAUACCGUCGUAGUCUUAACCAUAAACUAUGCCGACUAGGGAUCGGAUGAUGUUAAUUUUUAAUGA
rnacentral:ncRNA from 2 species